GACGAACGCUGGCGGCGUGCUUAACACAUGCAAGUCGAACGGAAAGGCCCUGCUUUUGUGGGGUGCUCGAGUGGCGAACGGGUGAGUAACACGUGAGUAACCUGCCCUUGACUUUGGGAUAACUUCAGGAAACAGGGGCUAAUACCGGAUAGGAGCUCCUGCUGCAUGGUGGGGGUUGGAAAGUUUCGGCGGUUGGGGAUGGACUCGCGGCUUAUCAGCUUGUUGGUGGGGUAGUGGCUUACCAAGGCUUUGACGGGUAGCCGGCCUGAGAGGGUGACCGGCCACAUUGGGACUGAGAUACGGCCCAGACUCGUACGGGAGGCAGCAGUGGGGAAUAGUGCACAAUGGGCGGAAGCCUGAUGCAGCAACGCCGCGUGCGGGAUGACGGCCUUCGGGUUGUAAACCGCUUUCGCCUGUGACGAAGCGUGAGUGACGGUAAUGGGUAAAGAAGCACCGGCUAACUACGUG
rnacentral:rRNA from 1 species